rnacentral:lncRNA from 1 species
UAUCCCUGAAGAGAAUCUUGCCAUGAAAUCUGAGUGCCCAGAAGAUCAAUUUGUACUUGUCAAUCCCAGAGAAUGUGUUCAUUGGAUCCACAAAGGUUAUAUCAUCCCUGAAAGAGCAAACAAAAAGAAUCUGAUUUAUUUAGUCGGAUGAUUAAUUUCUAGUUCUCAUCGACAGAUCACCCAAAGGAGAAGAGAAAAAAACCUGUAAAUGUCGUAAUUGAGAUCUUUGGUGAAGAGAAGAGGCAAAUCUUCACGAAGGGUACGUACAGCUAAACCGAGAUUGAUGUAGAAGUCAUCUUUGCCGUGCUGGUACUUAUCCUGCGCACUCGGUUUGGUCUUAACCUGCGCACCUCGAACAGGAGGAGGAGCCUGGACGCUAAAGAGAGAAAGUGGAGAGAGAGUAUCUUCGUCAAACUCGUAGCUAUUGGAAGAAGACGAUGAUGAUGAUGAU